AAACUUAAAUGAAUUUGACGGGGGCCCGCACAAGCGGCGGAGCAUGCGGAUUAAUUCGAUGCAACGCGAAGAACCUUACCUGGGUUUGACAUAUACCGGAAACAUCUGGAGACAGGUGCCCCGCAAGGUCGGUAUACAGGUGGUGCAUGGCUGUCGUCAGCUCGUGUCGUGAGAUGUUGGGUUAAGUCCCGCAACGAGCGCAACCCUCGUUCUAUGUUGCCAGCGGUUCGGCCGGGAACUCAUAGAAGACUGCCGGGGUCAACUCGGAGGAAGGUGGGGAUGACGUCAAGUCAUCAUGCCCCUUAUGUCCAGGGCUUCACGCAUGCUACAAUGGCUGGUACAAAGGGCUGCAAUACCGCAAGGUGGAGCGAAUCCCAUAAAGCCAGUCUCAGUUCGGAUUGGGGUCUGCAACUCGACCCCAUGAAGUCGGAGUCGCUAGUAAUCGCAGAUCAGCAACGCUGCGGUGAAUACGUUCCCGGGCCUUGUACACACCGCCCGUCAAGUCAUGAAAGUCGGUAACACCCGAAGCCGGUGGCCUAACCCUUGUGGAGGGAGCCGUCGAAGGUGGGACCGGUAAUUAGGACUAAGUCGUAACAAGGUAGCCGUACCGGAAGGUGCGGCUGGAUCACCUCCUUUAUG
rnacentral:rRNA from 1 species